GACUUCUGGUUUAAUGCACCUGGCCCGCGGCUCUUUAGGCUUGUGAGUGCCGGCGCGCGUUUACCAUCCUUCUGGGGAACGGGUCUACCCUUAACUGGGCCGGAUUCGGGAUCCAGAUCAUUUACUUUGAAAAAAUUAGAGUGUUUAAAGCAGGCUAUUGCUAUGAAUACAUUAGCAUGGAAUAAUAAUCUAGGACUUUCGGUUCUAUUUUGUUGGUGUUCUGGAGCUGAAGUAAUGAUUGAUAGGGAUAGUUGGGGGUGCUAGUAUUCAAUGGCCAGAGGUGAAAUUCUCGGAUUCCUUGAAGACUAACUUAUGCGAAAGCAUU
rnacentral:rRNA from 1 species